rnacentral:rRNA from 1 species
UACGUAGGUGGCAAGCGUUGUCCGGAAUUAUUGGGCGUAAAGCGCGCGCAGGCGGUCCUUUAAGUCUGAUGUGAAAGCCCACGGCUCAACCGUGGAGGGUCAUUGGAAACUGGAGGACUUGAGUACAGAAGAGGAAAGCGGAAUUCCACGUGUAGCGGUGAAAUGCGUAGAUAUCUGGAGGAACACCGGUGGCGAAGGCGGCAUCCUGGACCGGCAUUGACGCUGAGGCGCGAAAGCCAGGGGAGCAAACGGG